rnacentral:rRNA from 1 species
AUUGAACGCUGGCGGCAGGCUUAACACAUGCAAGUCGAGCGGGGUGAUGGUGCUUGCACUAUCACUUAGCGGCGGACGGGUGAGUAAUGCUUAGGAAUCUGCCUAUUAGUGGGGGACAACAUCUCGAAAGGGAUGCUAAUACCGCAUACGUCCUACGGGAGAAAGCAGGGGAUCACUUGUGACCUUGCGCUAAUAGAUGAGCCUAAGUCGGAUCAGCUAGUUGGUGGGGUAAAGGCCUACCAAGGCGACGAUCUGUAGCGGGUCUGAGAGGAUUAUCCGCCAAACUGGGACUGGGACACGGGCCAGAAUCCUACGGGAGGCAGCAGUUGGGAAUAUUGGACAAUGGGGGGAAACCUGAUCCAGCCAUGCCGCGUGUGUGAAGAAGGCCUUAUGGUUGUAAAGCACUUUAAGCGAGGAGGAGGCUCUUUUGGUUAAUACCCAAGAUGAGUGGACGUUACUCGCAGAAUAAGCACCGGCUAACUCUGUGCCAGCCGCCGCCGUAA